GCGUAUAUUACAAAACAAGUUCAACAAGUAACUUUAAAUAUCAUACAAACUGAAAUAGAUGCGAGCUGAAGAAAACCUAAGGAGAAAUACAGAGAGAGAG